rnacentral:snRNA from 1 species
GUGCUCCCUUCAGCAGCACAUAUAUUAAAAUUGGAAGGAUACAGAGAUUACCAUGGCCCCUGUGCAAGGAUGACAUGCAAAUU